CGAUUGAGGCGCAGUAAAUAUCAGUAUCAUUUUUUAGGCUCACGGUCAGCCGAUGAUAAAAUGUGAAAGGCUUUACUGCCGAAGAAAACGGUUGUCCGUGCGGUCGGUUUCUGGGUGCAUUAUUAACAGUAAUGCAACUGUCAUCAUUUUGAUGGAGUGCUUUCGUA
rnacentral:ncRNA from 1 species